UUCCUAGUCUCAGCGCAAGCUCAGUGAAAAUCUGGGAAAUGCAAGUGGAAACAUGAGAGACCGCUUUAUUUGGCAGUGCUUUAAAAAAAAAAAAAAAAAAAAAGGCAGAACAAAUGGCAAAGCAGUGUUGUGGACCGCAGGAUGAACAAUCAAUAGGCAGAAAGCAAGAUAGAGGCUUCCUCAGCUUUUGGAUCGACAAUCGACAGCUGAGAGACUAUUUUUUGCUAUGGUUGACUAAAUAUGGUCAGGGAAGAGAGAGGCACAAGAGAGCCUGUUUGCCUGGGAGUGCAUGUUUCAAAUGCUUAGCUGCCUAUAAAGCUGUAACAGUUUAGCCUGUGGCCACUGAGAGAAGAAUAUAAGUUAACCUCUGUAGUGACCAUGUGGAAGUCCUGACCUUGCUUGCAGACUUGACCUCUGGAUAUGACAAGGUGGCUUCAAUACAGAUCUACCAAUUAAUCCUGGAAACUAAAAACCAAAAACCAAAAAAAUCAAAAAAACAACUUCACAGCAAGAAAGAUACAGAAUAUUUCCUGAGAAGUCAGAAGAACCCAAUGUAUUCUGGUGAGGUUCUGUAUUCACUGAUACGGUCCCCUUGCUUCCCUCGGCUCAUGGAAAGAAGUGCUGAAUCAGCGAAUAGAGUGAAGGAACAAUCAAGAGGAGAUGGCUGCUGCUGAUGUGAUUAUCUAGGUCAUUAUCUUUCUUCCUCCUGCAAAUGCUGCAUGGCACUAAGCUUACAGGAUCUAGAAGCAAACUACAAAAUAAGAAGAAAUUCGCUCUGAAGACUAUGAAGAAACACUAGGCUGAUCUUACAAGUUUCUGAAAUAUAUUCUGUAAAAACUCCACUGAUUUUAUGAAUCUCUGGCAAAAACAACCAGACCAGGACAAAGUUCAACAGAUAACUGGUUAGUGUUUAGAAGUGUCUGUGUCCACCAAGAACGAGGAGCCACAAAUGGCACUAAUGCCAUGCUUCAGCACUUUGAAUACAUCAGUUCGCCACGAUCUUCUGGCCUCCAAAGUUUCUGA